UGACAUGCCAAGAAGGCCUUUGCAGUAAGGACUAGGCAAAAUUUACAGAGUUCAGAUGUCAAUAUUAAUG
rnacentral:lncRNA from 1 species